rnacentral:lncRNA from 1 species
GAAAGGGAAAUGAAUACCCUAAUUCUCCACUGCUCCUCCAUCCAAUGCCCCACUGACCAGCCUUCUUUCCAACAGAUCUCCUUUACAGAAAAGGGCUCAGAUAAGAAGAGACAAUUCAAACAAAAAGCCGAGACCCCCUCCUCCCAUUCCAGUGAGAAGCACAGGCAAAGACAGGCCCAAUCUAAAUGAAGAGAAGAAUUCUGAGAAAACUAAGCCCAAAGCUAGAAACAGCACUGCUAGAUUAGAACCAGAGUCGAGCUCACAUGAGGGAAACUCCAAGAAAAGGAAAAUCGGUUCCAAGGACAGCUGCCAAGACAGAGCUG